UAUAUAUAUAUAUUUUUAAAUGACAGUGUAAUGAGCUAAAGUGCCCUAAUCCCCAGUAUCUCAGAAAGAAACUGUGUUUGGAGAUGAAGGUUCUUAAAGAAGUGAAACGAGGUCAUGAGAGUGAGCCCUAACCCAGCGUGAUUGGUGUGCCUGUAAGAAGAGGAAAUUUGGACAAGGGUACGUGCAGAGGGAAACCCAUGGGAAGACACAGGGAGAAGACAGCCAUCCAAAAACCAAAGAGAGAGGACUCAGGAGAGGCGAGGCGGAUGGCGCUCACACUCUGAGCUCAGACUUCCAGCCUCCAGCAGUGUGAGAAAACAAGUUUUUGUUGUGUAAGCCCCGGGCCGUGGCACCUUGUCACUGCAGCCCUUAGCAAACUAACACAGACCGCCGGGCGCGGUGUGCUGAGGGCUGAGGGUCCGAGGCUGGCGCAGGCCCUGCGGGGCUGUGUUCCCCUGGCUGCCACCGUCCCGGGCCUGGAGGGCCUCUGGCUGCCCGUCUCCCGGGAGGUUGCUCUCAGAGCGCCUUAUGCCCGGGCUUGGCUUUCAUGACGCUCUCACGCCAGGGCUGUGUCUACUUCUCCCCGACCCGACCCGACCCGACCCGACGCAGCGCUUCCAGGGUAACCGUGUCUGUCCUACUCCCAGGGCCUGGCACAGAGGCGGCCCCAGCAGAUGGGAGGCAGCCAUACAGAUUUGAGGACAGCAGGAGCGAUAAGUGACAGUGGUUCCUGAAGUUGAGGAAGGGAUGAAAUGACUUCUGCGGGGCCAUACCAGUCACCUAAGUAUUGAUCCUGUGAAAAGUAAGCAUAUAUAAAUCUGUACUGAGGCUCUAGAAACUUCUCCUGUCUGGCUGUAGAGAGAUUGACCACCUGCUCUUGAGCCGUCUCAGUUCUGGCUGCUGCUAGGGGUUUGGCUGGUGCCUGUGACCUUGGGAGGGGUCCCCAGGGUGCAUUCAGGAAACACCACAUUGAGUAAUGGAAGUCUCCAUCAGAGUCCAUGAUAGAUCUGUUUUCAGCUGCUCCCUGUUGGGGUGUGAUUGAUUCCCGGGGAGCCUGUAUCCCUUUUCUGACUUAUUGAGUGUGGGUGAUGGAUUUUUGACAAGAUUGAUUUUGACCUGAAUACUGCUGAGCUAAAUGAAUCAACACUGUCAAUUUCUCUGCCUGGUUCUAAAGAAUAGUUAGGUGGAUAAGGACAUUUUUCUUUCAAUUGAAGUACUUUUAGCUACCCUGGCUGCCCAGCAAAGGCUUCCCUCUGCCAGCACCCACUGGCUGCCCUUGCAGCUGUCCCUUCUUGGAGGCACAGGCGGACAGGUCAGCCCCUCCCUUCCUCUUUGUUCUGGCAAGGCUGGCUCCCAGGUCAGGCCCACUGUCUGUGCCCGCUGGGCCCCCCUUCUCUCAUGGGGCCCCAGCCAGCAAUGUGAGCUGUAAUUGGGGUUGGCUGUGUGACAAGGACAGAGAUUUUUGUCUCAUCUCCCGCUCUCAUAGCUGUGAUUCCUAAAUUGACACAUUACUUACUUUCCCCCAAACCUACAAUAAGUAUCCAAUCUUUAAGGCGUUGCUGAUGUAUAGCUACUAUCUUCUUGGGAUGAGAUCUUCACAUUAAUCUUUUUGCCCUCAGCAUCGAAGGAGAUAUUCAUGUGACUGAUCCUAAGACAUCCCAGUGCUCCUGCCUGUCUCUGCCUUCCCCUGAUCUGAUUCUUCCUGCUGCAUCCGCUACUGGGCUUAACUGUGGGCUCAGGCUUCCUGAGCCCAGAGAGAAAGGACUGAGGUAGAUGCAUGGAGUGCUGAAGGGCUUGGGGACAGGGGAGUUUGGAGUCGGGAUUGAGCAUUGCUCUAGGCCUCCUCUACAUCUGCAGAAUGGUUGCCCUGAGAAGUGGGCAUUGUUGUCCUGACAUUAUCCAUAAUAUUUAAGAUAUUAAAUAAAAUGAAUGAUAUUAUAGUGAUAAUUUAUACA
rnacentral:lncRNA from 12 species